rnacentral:rRNA from 1 species
CCUACGGGGGGCUGCAGUGGGGAAUAUUGGACAAUGGGGGGAACCCUGAUCCAGCCAUGCCGCGUGUGUGAAGAAGGCCCUCGGGUUGUAAAGCACUUUCAGUGAGGAAGAACGCCUGGUGGUUAAUACCCAUCAGGAAAGACAUCACUCACAGAAGAAGCACCGGCUAACUCCGUGCCAGCAGCCGCGGUAAUACGGAGGGUGCGAGCGUUAAUCGGAAUUACUGGGCGUAGAGCGCGCGUAGGUGGCUUGAUAAGCCGGUUGUGAAAGCCCCGGGCUCAACCUGGGAACGGCAUCCGGAGCUGUCAAGCUAGAGUGCAGGAGAGGAAGGUAGAAUUCACGGUGUAGCGGUGAAAUGCGUAGAGAUCGGGAGGAAUACCAGUGGCGAAGGCGGCCUUCUGGACUGACACUGACACUGAGGUGCGAAAGCGUGGGUAGCAAACAGGAUUAGAUACCCUGGUAGUC